UACAGAGGUCCCAAGCGUUGCUCGGAAUUACUGGGCGUAAAGGGCGCGUAGGCGGCACUGUUAGUCAGGCGUGAAAGUCCUGGGCUCAACCUGGGAACUGCGCUUGAUACGGCAGAGCUAGAGGAUGGAAGAGGCUCGCGGAAUUCCCAGUGUAGAGGUGAAAUUCGUAGAUAUUGGGAAGAACACCGGUGGCGAAGGCGGCGAGCUGGUCCAUUACUGACGCUGAGGCGCGACAGCGUGGGGAGCAAACAGG
rnacentral:rRNA from 1 species